rnacentral:rRNA from 1 species
AUUGAACGCUGGCGGCAGGCUUAACACAUGCAAGUCGAGCGGGGUGAUGGUGCUUGCACUAUCACUUAGCGGCGGACGGGUGAGUAAUGCUUAGGAAUCUGCCUAUUAGUGGGGGACAACAUCUCGAAAGGGAUGCUAAUACCGCAUACGUCCUACGGGAGAAAGCAGGGGAUCACUUGUGACCUUGCGCUAAUAGAUGAGCCUAAGUCGGAUUAGCUAGUUGGUGGGGUAAAGGCCUACCAAGGCGACGAUCUGUAGCGGGUGUGAGAGGAGAAUCCGCCACACGGGGACUGAGACACGGCCCAGACUCCUACGGGAGGCAGCAGUGGGGAAUAUUGGACAAUGGGGGGAACCCUGAUCCAGCCAUGCCGCGUGUGUGAAGAAGGCCUUAUGGUUGUAAAGCACUUUAAGCGAGGAGGAGGCUCUUUUGGUUAAUACCCAAGAUGAGUGGACGUUACUCGCAGAAUAAGCACCGGCUAACUCUGUGCCAGCCGCCGCAGUAA